GAUGAACGCUGGCGGCGUGCUUAACACAUUCAAGUCGAACGAUGAAGCCCAGCUUGCUGGGUGGGUUAGUGGCGAACGGUUUAGUAACACGUUAGUAACCUGCCCUUAACUCUGGGAUAAUCCUGGGAAACUGGGUCUAAUACCGCAUAGCCGCGCCUACCGCCUGGUGGGUGUUGGACUUCUUUAUCGGUUUUGGAUGGACUCGCGGCCUAUCAGCUUGUUGGUGAGGUAAUGGCUCACCAAGGCGACGACGGGUAGCCGGCCUGAGAGGGUGACCGGCCACACUGGGACUGAGACACGGCCCAGACUCCUACGGGAGGCAGCAGUGGGGAAUAUUGAACAAUGGGCGAAAGCCUGAUGCAGCGACGCCGCGUGAGGGAUGACGGCCUUCGGGUUGUAAACCUCUUUCAGUAGGGAAGAAGCGAAAGUGACGGUACCUGCAGAAGAAGCACCGGCUAACUACGUG
rnacentral:rRNA from 1 species